ACCCAGGUGGCUCAGUCAGUAGAGCAAGACUCUUGAUCUUGGGGUCAUGAGUUCAAGCCCUAUGUUGGGUG
rnacentral:tRNA from 1 species